rnacentral:rRNA from 3 species
GGGUUGUGAGGUUAAGCGACUAAGCGUACACGGUGGAUGCCCUGGCAGUCAGAGGCGAUGAAGGGCGUGCUAAUCUGCGAUAAGCGCCGGUAAGGUGAUAUGAACCGUUAUAACCGGCGAUACCCGAAUGGGGAAACCCAGUGUGAUUCGUCACACUAUCAUUAACUGAAUCCAUAGGUUAAUGAGGCGAACCGGGGGAACUGAAACAUCUAAGUACCCCGAGGAAAAGAAAUCAACCGAGAUUCCCCCAGUAGCGGCGAGCGAACGGGGAGGAGCCCAGAGCCUGAAUCAGCAUGUGUGUUAGUGGAAGCGUCUGGAAAGGCGCGCGAUACAGGGUGACAGCCCCGUACACAAAAGCGCAUAUGCUGUGAGCUCGAUGAGUAGGGCGGGACACGUGGUAUCCUGUCUGAAUAUGGGGGGACCAUCCUCCAAGGCUAAAUACUCCUGACUGACCGAUAGUGAACCAGUACCGUGAGGGAAAGGCGAAAAGAACCCCGGCGAGGGGAGUGAAAAAGAACCUGAAACCGUGUACGUACAAGCAGUGGGAGCCCCACCACUAAGCCAGUGGUGAACUCCACAUACGCAUCCUUUGCUGAGGAGACGGUUAACGGAGCGAAAGCGACGUUCAACCUCAAAAGAAGCAGAGGGGGCUUAGUGGUGGGGUGACUGCGUACCUUUUGUAUAAUGGGUCAGCGACUUAUAUUCUGUAGCAAGGUUAACUGUAUAGGGGAGCCGGAGGGAAACCGAGUCUUAACCGGGCGUUAAGUUGCAGGGUAUAGACCCGAAACCCGGUGAUCUAGCCAUGGGCAGGUUGAAGGUUGGGUAACACUAACUGGAGGACCGAACCGACUAAUGUUGAAAAAUUAGCGGAUGACCUGUGGCUGGGGGUGAAAGGCCAAUCAAACCGGGAGAUAGCUGGUUCUCCCCGAAAGCUAUUUAGGUAGCGCCUCGUGAAUUCAUCUCCGGGGGUAGAGCACUGUUUCGGCUAGGGGGCCAUCCCGGCUUACCAACCCGAUGCAAACUGCGAAUACCGGAGAAUGUUAUCACGGGAGACACACGGCGGGUGCUAAUGUCCGUCGUGAAGAGGGAAACAACCCAGACCGCCAGCUAAGGUCCCAAAGUCAUGGUUAAGUGGGAAACGAUGUGGGAAGGCCCAGACAGCCAGGAUGUUGGCUUAGAAGCAGCCAUCAUUUAAAGAAAGCGUAAUAGCUCACUGGUCGAGUCGGCCUGCGCGGAAGAUGUAACGGGGCUAAACCAUGCACCGAAGCUGCGGCAGCGACACCGUGUGUUGUUGGGUAGGGGAGCGUUCUGUAAGCCUGUGAAGGUGUGCUGUGAGGCAUGCUGGAGGUAUCAGAAGUGCGAAUGCUGACAUAAGUAACGAUAAAGCGGGUGAAAAGCCCGCUCGCCGGAAGACCAAGGGUUCCUGUCCAACGUUAAUCGGGGCAGGGUGAGUCGACCCCUAAGGCGAGGCCGAAAGGCGUAGUCGAUGGGAAACGGGUUAAUAUUCCCGUACUUGGUGUUACUGCGAAGGGGGGACGGAGAAGGCUAUGUUGGCCGGGCGACGGUUGUCCCGGUUUAAGCGUGUAGGUAUGUGUUCCAGGUAAAUCCGGUUCACUUUAACACUGAGGCGUGACGACGAGGCACUACGGUGCUGAAGCAACAAAUGCCCUGCUUCCAGGAAAAGCCUCUAAGCAUCAGGUAACAUCAAAUCGUACCCCAAACCGACAC